rnacentral:ribozyme from 1 species
ACACUUACUAUAUAGAAGACGUGCUCUACGAUGACAGCAGCGACGACGAUAGCACAAGCAGCUCCGUCAUGAUCAGCACGUGGGCCCUUCUCACCUACAGCUUCGCGCACUUCCUGACG